UAGGGACCAGGAUUAGAUACCCUGUUACUUUUAACUAAAAGAUUUUGGAAUAAUAGUAUUAAUGAAAUUUAACGGAUUUGGCGGCAAGAUAGCCCCUUAGAGGAACCUGCCCUGUAAACGAUGAACCACGAGGGACUCUACUUUUUUUGGUAAUUCAGUUUGUAUAUCGCUGUUGUCAGUUAGAUUCUUGAGAAUAUUUUCGAACAUGAUAAAGUCAUUGACUUCAAGUAAAGGUGCAGCUUAUAGAAAAGAUAGAGGUGGGUUACAUUUAUAAGAUUAAAACGGAUAAGAUAAAUGAAAUAUUCUUUGAAGGUGGAUUUAACUGUAAAACUUAAAUAAGUUUGGUGAGAGCUCUAUCUUGUGUACACACCGCCCGUCGCUCUCUUUUUUAAA
rnacentral:rRNA from 1 species